rnacentral:rRNA from 1 species
AUCGAGCGCUGGCGGCAGGCUUAACACAUGCAAGUCGAGCGGAGAUGAGGUGCUUGCACCUUAUCUUAGCGGCGGACGGGUGAGUAAUGCUUAGGAAUCUGCCUAUUAGUGGGGGACAACAUUCCGAAAGGAAUGCUAAUACCGCAUACGUCCUACGGGAGAAAGCAGGGGAUCUUUGGACCUUGCGCUAAUAGAUGAGCCUAAGUCGGAUUAGCUAGUUGGUGGGGUAAAGGCCUACCAAGGCGACGAUCUGUAGCGGGUAUGAGAGGAUGAUCCGCCACACUGGGACUGAGACACGGCCCAGACUCCUACGGGAGGCAGCAGUGGGGAAUAUUGGACAAUGGGGGGGACCCUGAUCCAGCCAUGCCGCGUGUGUGAAGAAGGCCUUAUGGUUGUAAAGCACUUUAAGCGAGGAGGAGGCUACUGAGACUAAUACUCUUGGAUAGUGGACGUUACUCGCAGAAUAAGCACCGGCUAACUCUGUGCCAGCCGCCGCCGUAA